ensembl:lncRNA
AAAGAACAUACUAUGUAAUUCCUCCAGGUACCAACAGACACAAGUGGCUUUCUCAUACUGAUGGAUUUAUUGAAUCCAGCUUAGUCAGGAUCAUAAACACACCGUGAAAACUAAAGCACAGAACAAACAAUAAUUAGCUUAAAGAAAGAAAACUAACAGAUAAAACUAUUUUGACAAAUACAACAUACAAAACAUACCUCGUUGGCUGAGUACCGAGAGAGGAAUUAGUUUAAGUCUUUUUCUUCUUCUUUUUGUUGAUCUUAUUUCUCUUAUUAGCUUAGUGACCACACUUUAGUCAUGCAUCUUUCUUUCUCUAGAGAGAUCGCUUCUUUCUCUAGAGAGCUGGCUUCUUCUUCUGUAUUAACCUCUUCUCUGCAUACGAAGCUCACUCUUAAGCUACAGCGCCCCUAGUGGCACUUAACGGUAAUAAUAAUAAAAUACAGAAAAUGAAUAGAAACGCAAAUGUGGCAGUAACACUCCCACCAAUCUCACAACUCUUACUGUGGGAUUUCUAUGACUUACACUCAGUCUGACAAACUGAACAUGAAAAUAAACACAAACCCUUAGUCUGCUUCUAGCAAAACAAUAACCUUAUGAAUAGGUCGUUCUAAUGAGACUGUCUUAGUCACAAGUUUACUAUGCUUGUCAUAUGUCCUUUCACUAACCAAAAGUCGAACCUUUCUCACUUUGUUAUCAGUUCCUGGAUAGACAUCAGUGACUUUGGCAAGCUUCCAUUCAUUACGUGGUGCCAUGUCAUCUUGUAGAAGCACUACAUCAUUUAUCUUCAGAUUCCUUCUGUGUACAUUCCACUUCUGUCUUGGUUGCAAGUUGAGCAAAUAUUCUUUCCUCCAACGAAUCCAAAACUCAUUGGCUAAAUAUUGUACUCUUCUCCAUCUUUUUUGAAGAUACAAAUCUUCUUUCAUAAACUCUCCUGGAGGAGGUUGAACAAUGGUUGACUUCAUAGUGAGAAUGUGAUUGGGCGUUAAUGGCUCAGGACCUGUUGGAUCACUUAAAUGCUCGAUGGAAAGUGGCCUACUGUUGACAAUCGCCAUGACCUCAUACAACAAGGUUCUCAAGGAUGUACUGUCGAGUCUCUUUGCUGACUGGUCAAGGAUGGCUGAAAGAACACUACGGAUGGUCCUGAUCUGUCUUUCCCAUAUUCCACCCAUAUGGCUUGCCGAAGGGGGAAUCAUGAGAAAUUCACAUCCAAGCGCUUUUACCUUCUCCUGAUUCAUUUCUUUCAUGAGAUCUGCGAGUUCUCUCUGGGCCCCAAUGAAAUUGGUUCCUCUAUCACAUCUCAGUUGACGCACAUUUCCUCUUAUUGCAAUAAAUGCUCGCAGAGCCCUUGUGUUCCUUGACCCUUCUUCUCAAGAUUGCAAAUGCUCUUAUCAAUCUGGACCAUUCUGAAAAACUUCUCAAAUCUGCUGAAAAUAGUUUGCUCUUCCUUUGCAUUGAUGGUAUACACAGAGGCUUUGCGAAGUUCUGGAUCAUUUUCCCUGAUCUCUCCCACCUUAACAUCUCUAUCAGGAAUGUUCUUCUCCCAGAGAAAUGCUGGCCCCUCAAACCAUUCAGAGGACUUCAGUUGUUCUGCGGUUAAGCCUCGAGAAACGUAGUCUGCAGGGUUCUGCUCUGAUGCGACAUACGCCCAUUGUUCUGGCUUUGUGCUUGACUUGAUCCUUUGUAUCCGAUUCGCUACGAAGACUUGAAACCUUUUGGCAUCAUUAUUUAUGUAGCCGAGAACAACGGUGGAGUCGGUCCAGAAAAACUCAGCAACGUAUGGGAUUUCAAGUUCUGUCCUGAGUAGAUCACUGACUCUAACUGAAACAACUGCUGCUGAGAGUUCGAGUCGAGGGAUAGUUGUGACACUAGUAGGUGUGACUCUUGACUUGGCCAUUACCAAGCAACAAUGGACUUGAUCUGAUUGGUUAAUGGCUCGCAGGUAAGUACAAGCACCAUAUCC